AUGGAAGCACAUAACCCUGCAUCAGCACCUGGAUUUGCAAAUGUUGGCUAUGCACAGGGAAAUCAGGUCCCCUAUGGCAACCCGCAGUAUGCACCUGGGAAUUUCCAGGGUAUGUCGCUUGGCUACAGAUCUGCUAUUUUGUUAGGAAAUGGGGAGCAGGAGGUUUCACCAGAGCAGCCAUCUUUGAUUUACUUUUCUAAUAUUAAUUCUGUAGAGUUUCUGGUAACUUCUAUUUUGCUGAAAGUCUUACUCUUUUCUUGGUGUUAGUGUGUGCUGAGCAGUGCCAGUAGCAGAAGUUUAAAAUGCUGGAUGUUCUUCCUCACAGGUCACCAGUUGGAGUUCGUUAGGGAGGUGUCACUGGUGCAAAGCAACCAAUGUAUGACAGCUUCUUGCUAUUGAUGAGUUUUCUUUAAAUUGAAAUGUUAGUUUAUUUUUCUUCAGAAAUCCAGAACUGAAUAAUUGUUUUCCUUUCACAGUUCUCCUGGUCAUGUGGAUCCCAUUCCUUUUUCCUACACUUUUGCUGUACUUUGCACGUACUCUUUCAUUUCCUUUCCACUUUUUCUCUUAUGUUCUGUAUUCAAAACACAGCACUUGUAAAUAGUUUCUCAUGUCCUGGCAUCUAACUGUCUUCUGAAGAACCAAAUCACAAUGAGCAAUAUCUAACAAGCUCUCAGAGCGUAUGUUAUGGAUAAAGUGCAAAAUGUUUUGCUUAGGUUUCUGUGUUGUAUAUAAGUUAAAUCUUGUGUGUCUUGUAGCAAGGAAAUCUGAGUUCUGCAAGUUUGCUAGACUUCAGCAAGAAAUGAGCAUGUGCUACCUGUACUACAAAGGUCAGGGGAUCAUAUUUUGUUCCAAAUAAUUGCGCACAUACACUUACACAAUGGUAGUCAGUGUGUGUGCAAGGCCUGUGCUCAGACGUACGAGGGAGUGUUUCAUAAGCGUGGUUCCUCACCAGAGGUGAGUGUUCCUGCUGGCUACAAGCUUUAAGCCGCUGUUCAUCACCUGACUUAUGGCCACAGCAUCAUCUUCCACAUGUAAUAGCCCAUGUUUUGUAAUGUAGUAUGAAACAUUGGCGCUAAAGGUAAAUCUAUGAGUCAGCAUCUCAAAUUAGUUGUCUUUGUACAGCUCUACAAAAGUAUUUGUGGUGGUUCCUACUUGUAUUUUACUCGGAAGCACACAGAAACAAAAUUCCUCUGCAUCUGAUUGAAGGUCUACUGGGUAGGGAAAAUUUACAGUUCCUGUUUCAUAACUUCCAGUAUCAGCAGCAUCAGCUGACCCAGCUGCAGGGGCCCAGGGCCGCUCCGUGCUGCGGGCGCCAUCUGCAGGGCUGGCGCGCUUACAUGACGGGCCUGCUGCAGGAGUGCGGCUUGGAAAGCGCUGCCUUGGCCCUGGUAGGCCCUGGGGCUUUUUCCUUUGGUGUGCACCUCCUGCAUGAGGGAGUUGUGAGUUUUGGGUGAGAAUCCCCUGAAUUCAACAAGCGGGAAUGUACAGGUUUUCGAUCCCACUCAUUUAGUUUUAAGCUGGAGGUGAAUUUUGCAGAAAGGACAUUUCUUAUCAUGUAAGUAGAAGGUGUAUUCUAGGAAAACUGUCUUAAAAUUCGUCUGGUAUUCAUAAGUUGUCAACUGAGCAAAUACUUUUCCUGUAUUGUAAUGUAUUGUGUCAUCUUUACUUAUAAAUAAAUAGGAUUAUUUCUUUUUUAUUUUUUGUGUGAAUAAAAUUUCUACUAUAUACAAGAGUAACAAAUUUGUUUAUUUAACUUGUUUUUGUCUGGAGGGAUUAGAACAUCCCCGUCCAUCAUGAGUUUCUUGGGUCUGAAGAUCUUCAUGCUUCAGAAAAGUAAACAAGUCUUUUUGAAGAUCCAUGGUGCAGCAAGACCAAAGUUUCCUAACUGUAUCUCUCCUUAUGCUUAGGUGGUGCCGGAGCAGGGCCUU
rnacentral:lncRNA from 1 species